rnacentral:rRNA from 1 species
ACGCUCGACACCUACUGGAGGCAGCAGUGGGGAAUAUUGCACAAUGGGGGAAACCCUGAUGCAGCGACGCCGCGUGAGUGAAGAAGUAUUUCGGUAUGUAAAGCUCUAUCAGCAGGGAAGAAGAUGACGGUACCUGAGUAAGAAGCCCCGGNUAACUACGUGCCAGCAGCCGCGGUAAUCUGAGCGGGCUGGCAAGGC